UUGUUUUUAUUUAUUUUAAUAUUUUAUAGUUAUUUUAUCGAAUUACAUAUCAACCCACAUAUAUAUUGUACAAUGUAUAUUUUUAAUAUUGCUGUUACUGUUACCGGACCAAUCUUGCGUGAACGGAGUUUGUUGUACUCGUGGGCAGGUAGACGAUCUUUGGUGAGGACCACCCAAACUAAGUCACCUGGAGCAAAUAUCAGUUCGAUGACUCUCUGCCCGAGCUUUGUAACGCUCUGUUGCAGCGUAUAGUAUUAGAAUCGAAUAG
rnacentral:lncRNA from 1 species